rnacentral:misc_RNA from 1 species
GAUGAAGAACGUAGUGAAAUGCGAUAAGUAAUGUGAAUUGCAGAAUUCAGUGAAUCAUCGAAUCUUUGAACGCACAUUGCGCCCGCCAGUAUUCUGGCGGGCAUGCCUGUUCGAGCGUCAUUUCAACCAUCAAGCCCCCGGCUUGUGUUGGGGACCUGCGGCUGCCGCAGGCCCUGAAAAGCAGUGGCGGGCUCGCUGUCACACCGAGUGCAGUAGAUUACUCUUCGCUCAGGGCGUGCAGCGGGUUCCGGCCGUGAAACCCCCUACUUUUAAAGGUUGACCUCGGAUCAGGUAGGAAUACCCGCUGAACUUAAGCAUAUCAAUAAGCGGAGGA